rnacentral:tRNA from 1 species
GCCGGGAUGGCGGAAUGGCAGACGCGGCGGACUUAAAAUCCGCUAUCUUAACGGAUGUGUGGGUUCGAGUCCCUCUCCCGGCACCA